CCUACGGGGGGCAGCAGUAGGGAAUAUUGCUCAAUGGGGGAAACCCUGAAGCAGCAACGCCGCGUGGAGGAUGGAGGUUUUAGGAUUGUAAACUCCUUUUGUUAGAGAAGAUUAUGACGUUAUCUAACGAAUAAGCACCGGCUAACUCCGUGCCAGCAGCCGCGGUAAUACGGAGGGUGCAAGCUUUACUCGGAAUCACUGGGCGUAAGGAGUGCGUAGGUGGGGUAAAAAGUCAUAUGUGAAAUCCUGUAGCUUAAGUACAGAAGUGCAUUUGAAACUGUUUCUCUGGAGUGUGGGAGAGGUAGGAGGAAUGCGUGGUGUAGGGGUAAAAUCCGUAGAGAUCAAGAGGAAUACUCAUUGCGAAGGCGACCCGCUGGAACAUUACUGACGCUGAUGCACGAAAGCGUGGGGAGCAAACAGGAUUAGAUACCCUGGUAGUC
rnacentral:rRNA from 1 species